UCCAGGGCUUAAGGGAAUGAGCCACCCAGGCGCUCCUAGUUUGGCAUAAUUCUUAAAUUUGUAUAUCUUCUCUUCACCUUAUAACAAACAGAGCAAGCUGGCUUUGGUAACCUUUCUUUUCUUUUCCUGAAGGUGGUGCUACAGCUGAAGCUUGUGUUUCCUCCCUUGCGUCAAACUCUGGCUUGUUUUCUGCACAUCCUCUCUUUGUCUAUUUCGCUGCCUCUUGCUUCCACCCUGGAAAGUGCACACAGAAUGCCAGUCACGGAGUGGGAGCAAGUGUGAGUUUGGUACUUAGGGCCAGCUCGGGGAAUCCCCAGGUGAGGUUUUCCUAGCUCUUGGCCAGACUUCCUGCUGGAGCCUCGAAGGCAAUUGGCAAGACCAGUGUCACUUUAAGAUCAGUGUCUCUGAUAUUCUCAUCUCCCUCUCUCCCAAUCUCCCUUCUCGGACUCACAGAAUUCGUACGCUUAUGCUCUGGGUUGUGUGGGAGAGAAGGCCUUCUCUAGCAGUGUCCUGCACAAAUUGGGUAAGCCAGGCGCUCACUUGGUCUCCCUUUUUUUCUCAUGGGAGGAAUACCAGCUUUCUUUUUUUUCUCUAAAGUGUGCCACCUUCUGGGAGGAAUAAUGCUUGCAAAGUUCCUCCCACCCACUCCAAGGCAUCCAAACUCUUCUGGGUUGUUUUUUGUUUUUUCGCGCUGGAACUUUUCCUCCAUAAACCUGAACUUUCCUGAAGGCCCUCUUGUCUGUAAAUAUCUGCCCGAGUCUGUGUUUUCCAGGCACCACGACCAAAAGGGAUUGGAUCUGGUUCACAGGAUCCUGCUGGUUCCACUGGGGUCUAUCUGCCUAUUAUCCAGUUCACAGGUUCCGAGGCAUAUAUCUAAAGCAUGGAUUCCAUUUCUCAACCGGCUGUGACCUUGAUCCAUGACCAAGCCCCUUGAGGAGAAUUUUUUCAUAUGAACAAGAUCCUGGGUAAACUGUGGUCUGGAAGUAGACGAUUCUCCUGACAUAACAUCAGAAGGUCAGCAGUAGCCUAACACUCCAUCUCCCUGCCUGCCUACAUCAUUCACCUCAGUUCAUCUCAUCACAUAGGCAUUUUAUCGUCUCAACCAUCGCACGAGGAAGGAGACACCACAAGGCCAGGAACGCCAGCAGGGGUGAACACACCCUAAUAAGCACACUGUCCAGGCAGUUUUCUUCAUUUCUGUGGCUGAAGGCUCCCUUCUUCCAGCUGGAUGCACCAGGCUGGGCGGGUUGAGAACGCUCCUUCUGCCCCCCUCCUGCAGCACCAGGAGAGACCACGGGAGCCCCUGUGGUACCAGAUAAACCAAGACCAAAAUAACCCUGACUCUGAAAAUUGUCACUGGAACCACAGAACCCAAAAGUGGGCCAGAGUGUGCAUGCUACAUCUAAAGAAGCUGACUCCCUACUAAAAUAAGGAUGUAUAGCUCCCAGAGUCUCCAAACGUAAUGGUCAAAAUAGAGAAUCAUGUUCCUUGGUAUUGACCUGAAGAAGCUGGAAUCUUACAUCCGCAUAAAAACCUGCACAAGGAUGUCAGCAGCCUUAUUCAUAAUUGCCAAAAUUGGGAAGCAAUCAAGAUGUCCUUCAGUGGCUGAGUGGUUAAACAAACUACGGAACAUUCAGACAAGGCAAUAUUAUUCACAGCUAUGAAGCAAUAAGCUAUCAGUGCAUGAAAAUACUUGGAGGAAACUUAAAUGCGCAUUACUAAGUGAAAGAAAUCAAUUUGAAAAAGUUUGUGAUCCCAACUAUACGACUUUCUGGAAAAAGCAAAGCUAUGGAGACAAUAAAAAGGGUUGGAACUCAGUUUCCCUGUCACCCUCAAGCUCCGUCAGAACCAAACCUGCUAACUGUUAGAGUUUCCGGUGUUAAGCCCUGCUGAUUAUAAAAACGUGUGAAGUUAAGCCCCUGUGAUUUUCAAAGGCAGACAUGAUGGGGAUUCAUCUUCUCAGUGCAAGUCCCCCUUGUCUGGGGUCCCCGGCGUGGGUCUCUUCCUCUCCCUUCUCCAUGCCUAUGGUGUACCUCCUUAUUGUGGUGAGCCUUGCAGCUUAGUUUGGUUCCCAGCCUGUCUCCAGGCCAUCUUUCCAGUUUUGAUGUGGCCUCCUCUCUAUGAUCAAGAGUGGAGAGGGGUGCCUGGGGGGCUCAGUCAGUUGUGCAUCCAACUUCG